rfam:Schistosoma mattheei strain Denwood, Zambia genome assembly, scaffold: SMTD_scaffold0002102
AUCCAGCUGACAAGUCUGAAAUAGGAGGAAACGCGCAUUCUGGAU